rnacentral:rRNA from 1 species
CGAGAGCCUGACGGAGCAAUACCGCGUGAGGGAGGAAGGCCUUUGGGUUGUAAACCUCUUUUCUUAAGGAAGAAGAUCUGACGGUACUUAAGGAAUCAGCAUCGGCUAACUCCGUGCCAGCAGCCGCGGUAAUACGGAGGAUGCAAGCGUUAUCCGGAAUUAUUGGGCGUAAAGCGUCCGCAGGCGGCACUAUAAGUCUGCUGUCAAAGACCGCAGCUCAACUGCGGAAAGGCAGUGGAAACUGUAGAGCUAGAGUACGGUAGGGGUAGAGGGAAUUCCCAGUGUAGCGGUGAAAUGCGUAGAGAUUGGGAAGAACACCAGUGGCGAAAGCGCUCUACUGGGCCGUAACUGACGCUCAGGGACGAAAGCUAGGGGAGCG